rnacentral:sRNA from 12 species
AAGCUCAAGGGCGUCGAUAUCCGCUUCGGUGGUUUCCCUCUACGUAAGCUGUGAUCCGCAAGGUAGCAUCCUGGAGUUUGGCCCGCUGUUAGUAAGUGCACAGAAAGCGGCGGGUU